rnacentral:rRNA from 1 species
UACGGAGGGGGCUAGCGUUGUUCGGAAUUACUGGGCGUAAAGCGCACGUAGGCGGCUUUGUAAGUUAGAGGUGAAAGCCCGGGGCUCAACUCCGGAAUUGCCUUUAAGACUGCAUCGCUAGAAUUGUGGAGAGGUAAGUGGAAUUCCUGGUGUAGCGGUGAAAUGCGUAGAUAUCAGGAGGAACACCGGUGGUGUAGACGGCUCUCUGGACCGUAACUGACGCUGAGGCACGAAAGCGUGGGUAGCAAACAGG